rnacentral:rRNA from 1 species
AGUGAACGCUGGCGGUAGGCCUAACACAUGCAAGUCGAACGGCAGCACAGUAAGAGCUUGCUCUUACGGGUGGCGAGUGGCGGACGGGUGAGGAAUACAUCGGAAUCUACUUUUUCGUGGGGGAUAACGUAGGGAAACUUACGCUAAUACCGCAUACGACCUACGGGUGAAAGCAGGGGAUCUUCGGACCUUGCGCGAUUGAAUGAGCCGAUGUCGGAUUAGCUAGUUGGCGGGGUAAAGGCCCACCAAGGCGACGAUCCGUAGCUGGUCUGAGAGGAUGAUCAGCCACACUGGAGCUGGGACACGGUCCAGACUCCUACGGGAGGCAGCAGUGGGGAAUAUUGGACAAUGGGCGCAAGCCUGGUCCAGCCAUACCGCGUGGGUGAAGAAGGCGUUCGGGUUGUAAAGCCCUUUUGUUGGGAAAGAAAAGCAGCAGGUUAAUACCCCGCUGUUCUGACGGUACCCAAAGAAUAAGCACCGGCUAACUUCGUG